UGGGUCGUGCAGGCCUCGAACCUGCGACACCCGGAUUAAGAGUCCGGUGCUCUACCAUCUGAGCUAACGACCC
rnacentral:tRNA from 1 species